rnacentral:rRNA from 1 species
GCAGUCGAGCGGAACACUUGGAGCUUGCUCCAGCGUUUAGCGGCGGACGGGUGAGUAACACGUGGGCAACCUGCCCUGCAGAUCGGGAUAACUCCGGGAAACCGGUGCUAAUACCGAAUAGUUUGAAGCCUCACCUGAGGCUUCACGGAAAGACGGUUUCGGCUGUCACUGCAGGAUGGGCCCGCGGCGCAUUAGCUAGUUGGUGGGGUAACGGCCCACCAAGGCCACGAUGCGUAGCCGACCUGAGAGGGUGACCGGCCACACUGGGACUGAGACACGGCCCAGACUCCUACGGGAGGCAGCAGUAGGGAAUCUUCCGCAAUGGACGCAAGUCUGACGGAGCAACGCCGCGUGAGUGACGAAGGUUUUCGGAUCGUAAAACUCUGUUGUGAGGGAAGAACACGUACCAACUAACUAUUGGUACCUUGACGGUACCUCACCAGAAAGCCACGGCUAACUACGUGCCAGCAGCCGCGGUAAUACGUAGGUGGCAAGCGUUGUCCGGAAUUAUUGGGCGUAAAGCGCGCGCAGGCGGUUCCUUAAGUCUGAUGUGAAAGCCCACGGCUCAACCGUGGAGGGUCAUUGGAAACUGGGGAACUUGAGUGC